rnacentral:lncRNA from 1 species
GACCAUGAUCAUGUUAUUCAAUCCCUAGGACCAAUCUUACCUUUAAUCUCUCAACUUGACCUAUCCAACCCAUCUUACCAAAUCAUCACAAUCAACCCUCAACUUUUAACUUAAACCUCUCAACCCAAACAAUCUAACUAAUCAUCCUAAACAACCACAUCCAAUUCUUAGCCUUUAACCACUCUCCCACCAAACCCUAACCUACCUACACA